UACGUAGGGUGCAAGCGUUGUCCGGAAUUAUUGGGCGUAAAGAGCUCGUAGGCGGCCAGGUAGGUCAGCUGUGAAAACUCGAGGCUCAACCUCGAGACGCCGGUUGAAACCAUCUGGCUAGAGUCCGGAAGAGGAGAGUGGAAUUCCUGGUGUAGCGGUGAAAUGCGCAGAUAUCAGGAAGAACACCCGUGGCUAAGGCGGCUCUCUAGUACGGUACUGACGCUGAGGAGCGAAAGCGUGGGGAGCGAACAGG
rnacentral:rRNA from 1 species